rnacentral:rRNA from 1 species
UCGGGAAUAUUGCGCAAUGGAGGAAACUCUGACGCAGUGACGCCGCGUGCAGGAAGAAGGUUUUCGGAUUGUAAACUGCUUUAGACAGGGAAGAAAAAGACAGUACCUGUAGAAUAAGCUCCGGCUAACUACGUGCCAGCAGCCGCGGUAAUACGUAGGGAGCAAGCGUUAUCCGGAUUUAUUGGGUGUAAAGGGUGCGUAGACGGGAAAACAAGUUAGUUGUGAAAUUCCUCGGCUUAACUGAGGAACUGCAACUAAAACUAACUUUCUUGAGUGCUGGAGAGGAAAGUGGAAUUCCUAGUGUAGCGGUGAAAUGCGUAGAUAUUAGGAGGAACACCAGUGGCGAAGGCGACUUUCUGGACAGUAACUGACGUUGAGGCUCGAAAGCGUGGGGAGCAAACAGGAUUAGAUACCC